GUCACUCGGUGUUCUCACCGAAAGCACGUAAUCGCCGGUGUAACUCAUGUUGGCUGGGGGGCCUCCCGGCGCGCGGUGAGGCUGGGGUGCGCCCCC
ensembl:misc_RNA